GACGAACGCUGUCGGCGUGCUUAACACAUGCAAGUCGAACGGAAAGGCCCUGCUUUUGUGGGGUGCCCGAGUGGCGAACGGGUGAGUAACACGUGAGUAACCUGCCCUUGACUUUGGGAUAACUUCAGGAAACUGGGGCUAAUACCGGAUAGGAGCUCCUGCUGCAUGGUGGGGGUUGGAAAGUUUCGGCGGUUGGGGAUGGACUCGCGGCUUAUCAGCUUGUUGGUGGGGUAGUGGCUUACCAAGGCUUUGACGGGUAGCCGGCCUGAGAGGGUGACCGGCCACAUUGGGACUGAGAUACGGCCCAGACUCCUACGGGAGGCAGCAGUGGGGAAUAUUGCACAAUGGGCGGAAGCCUGAUGCAGCAACGCCGCGUGCGGGAUGACGGCCUUCGGGUUGUAAACCGCUUUCGCCUGUGACGAAGCGUGAGUGACGGUAAUGGGUAAAGAAGCACCGGCUAACUACGUG
rnacentral:rRNA from 1 species